GAUGAACGCUAGCUACAGGCUUAACACAUGCAAGUCGAGGGGAAACGAUAUUGGAAGCUUGCUUCCGAUGGGCGUCGACCGGCGCACGGGUGAGUAACGCGUAUCCAACCUGCCCACCACUUGGGGAUAACCUUGCGAAAGUAAGACUAAUACCCAACGAUAUCUCUAGAAGACAUCUGAAGGAGAUUAAAGAUUUAUCGGUGAUGGAUGGGGAUGCGUCUGAUUAGCUUGUUGGCGGGGUAACGGCCCACCAAGGCGACGAUCAGUAGGGGUUCUGAGAGGAAGGUCCCCCACAUUGGAACUGAGACACGGUCCAAACUCCUACGGGAGGCAGCAGUGAGGAAUAUUGGUCAAUGGACGAGAGUCUGAACCAGCCAAGUAGCGUGCAGGAUGACGGCCCUAUGGGUUGUAAACUGCUGUUAUAAGGGAAUAAAGUGAGCCUCGUGAGGCUUUUUGCAUGUACCUUAUGAAUAAGGACCGGCUAAUUCCGUGCCAGCCGCCGCAGUAA
rnacentral:rRNA from 1 species